ensembl:lncRNA
GUCAGUCUAAAUAGGAAAUCAAUCAACAUCCUGUAAGAAUCUAAAAUAAAGUGGGGGAUGGGAGUGGGAGGAACACAGAAGGGCAUUUUUUUUCUCAACUUUUGCAUUGCUCAGUCUUCCUCUGACACAGCCAUAAGCCAGCAAACACGAUGCCAGAGACUGUCCUUGGCUUAGCCUGUCUCCUGCUUUGUACCAGUGUUCUCCAAAUCGGUUCAUCAGAAAGCUGCAAACUCAAAGUGAAGAUGCUGAAUAACACGGUCCACCAAGUCUCAUGCUUCAACAAAAUGCGUGGAGAAGAAUGUGCGAUCGGUCGCACGACCAGCUACUGUAACAUCGAGGAAAAAAACGGACAUAUAUGCAUCAAAUGGACUGAUGCCGAUAUGACGUGCAGGAAAAUGGAUCAAGAGCUUUCAAAAGUCCCCCUUGAGAACGGAAAAUGUGCUCAGGAUCAAGAGAGUUUGGACUGCAUCAGAGAGUUUACAGACCCUGGUGAUGCAAAGAAUAAUGCGCUCCAUGUGACCACAUGCCUAGAAGGUCUACAUCUGAUGCUUCUUCCUCUUUUUUUUUUUUGUUUAAGUAAGUUUUGUUUCAGUGUUUAAGUGCAGCUGUACUUUAUUGAAAUCUUUCCAUGUUUACUCUCACACCACUACAUUUCAAAGUCAAAAAUCUUUUUCCCUUUUUUUUUACUCCAGAACAUUAUGCAAAAAUCUAAGUUUGUGCUUUGUUUUGUGAAAUUUUGGCAUUAUCUAUUCAACAUAAAUAUUUUUCUUAAUUAUAAAACACUAUUUCAUUUUCUAGUAAAUUUGUUUAGGCUAGUUUAUGUUUAUAUACAGAACCCUACAGAUCAAUAUACUAAAGGAAAUCUCAUUUGAAGUAGGUUGUUAUUAAACUUAAACUUGUAACAAUAAAUUGCAAUAAAGUGCAAUAAAAACUUAAACUGAAACUUGUUUGUUAAAAGUGAUGGAAACUGUUUACCUUCAGUGUUUUGUGCUUAUGAUCAUUUUAAUACACGUCAGCUUCACUAAUUAAUGACGUUCUAUUAAAAGACUGGUUUACCAAGAGAGACGCUGGAGGAUUUUCACCUAAAAUGAAUUCAUGAAGCCAGUCUUGUUACAAAAAUAGUAAUGGGACAUGAAGGUUAAUCUUUUAGUACUUUUACUUCAGUACAUUUGAAGGGAAAUACUUUUGUACUUUUACUCAAGUGGAGGUCUAAAGGGAGGAACUUCUACUGGAGUAGUGUUUUACUUUGGGUGUCUCUGCUUUAACUCAAGUACAUGAAGUGUGUACUUCUUCCACCACUGAUAAUCAAGUCAUAAUCAUCAAUCACGAUAACAAUCAUGUCAUUUAAAAAUGACCGACUCAUUCUGCAGAUUUUACCAAAUUUGAGCAAUUAAAAUGUAAACAAUUCAGAGACGUUGAGGGUGGUCUGAGGUCAAACGUUGCAUUCUAGGUAAGUUUAAUGUAGCUAGUGUCCGGCUAGCGGCUCGUCCUGCCGCAGACGAGCGAAAGGCGACCCGUGAGCGCUGAGCAGCACAGGUAGCUUUAGCUACCCGCCGUAUCAGUGAGAGACGUAAACACAUGUACCCAGUUGUGGGCUGGGAGCUGUGUAGACUCUUGUAUCGGUCUGUUGGGCUGGUUGGUGGGGUUUAGCGUCGUGUGUGGCUCUUGCUGACCUGUCCUGCUGCGGAACGCAGAUAAGAGAUCGAUCAACGCGCUAAGGUUCCCACCUUCUGCUUCUCCUACACCGACUCUAGACUGGUAGCGACAGAAACCAAACAAUUUACACACAAUGCAUUUAAAGGAAUAAUUCGGCGAAAUGUCACAUUCGCUCGACUUACAUCAGAAGCUGUCGAUCAGCCAAGACAGUUGAUCCCCGAGCUCUGCUCUAGUGUACAGCGGGAGACGCUAGGCUAACACUGCUAACAAGCGCUAAUGCUGGAUUGUCACUAAACUCAACCCCGUAAAUAUAUGCCCCCGAAACGUCCUUCAACCCGCUCAAAUCACAUCUUAAUUUGUUUCACAGAGACACGCUGAAGAGGUUUAAAGCACAGUAUGUACUUAUUUUAGUCUUUAAAAACAAAAACCUCUCAGCAAAAGUGGACAGUGAGUAAGUAACCGGAGCCACUGUUGCCUCAGUGCAAUAUGUGGUAUCAUUCCGCAGCGGAAGGCGAACGCGACAGGGGAACUGAGCUUUUGUGCGUUUGAGAUGAAAGCAAGUGGUCCUCUUUCACCAAUAACUUCUUAUACAAAGCGGGCGUUAAUAAGGGCUAUAUGUACCGGAAGCUAGCGCAUGAAUGUACGCAAUAUCUUCCACUCAGUGGUGAACAAACCUUAUUUUUACUCCGAUUUACCUCAAUUUUAGCAUUUUCAGCAUUACAUGUAAAACCGAAGACACUGGUUGCAUUGCAGUCAUCUCAAGCCCUGGUUCCCGUCAUCACCACUGUAGAGAAAUCUGAGUCUAUAAGUUUAUCUAGUGAACCAUUUCACAUCAGACCACUCUGAAUGACUUUGUUAGCACGUUAACGAUUUCCUUAUACAGCAAUUUUGAAAAAUCGGUGUAGUUUCCUUUCAAGCCAUGCCUUAAUACUUAAUACUUAAUAUAGAUACUUAUAGAUACAUAUGCUUUUUGACUUUCACUGACAUUCAAGUAUAUUUUUUAUUUUUAUAUUUUUUCUAUACUUCUGCUUUCAUUUUGGCACAGUCCUCAAACCUUUAUUUAAGUAUAGUUUUUCAGUGUUUUUUCCACCCCUGGCAGUGAGAAGAGUAGAGAAGAAAUGUGUCAUCAGAUUGUCUUUUUUUUUCCACACUGAUGAAUUAACAAGUGAACUCUAAGAGACCAGUCUAAUUGUCAACACACUGUGUCUUGACAUUUGUUUACUAUCCAUAUUCUCUUAAGUGAGAAGAGGUCUGAAAAAAUUUCAUAUUUUCAUGUUUUUUUGUUAAUAUUAUUCUGUUUUCAUAAGCAUUUACCACAGUACCUUCUGUAAGCUGAUUUUCUUUGCUGACUCAUCUGUUACUGGUGUUUGUCUGUUUCCAUUACAAAUACAAAUGUAUCAGUUCCUUUUAAGUGUGUCAUUCCACUGUUUUUUAAGUGUGUCAUUCCACUGUUCCAUUCCAAUGUUGCACCCUCC